GGGGUUGUGGCUCAGUGGUAUAGCACUUGCCUAGCGCAUGCAAGGCCCUGAAUUCGAUCCUCAGCACCACA
rnacentral:tRNA from 1 species